rnacentral:rRNA from 1 species
CCGUAGGUGAACCUGCGGAAGGAUCAUUAACG